rnacentral:sRNA from 1 species
ACACGAGAAGGGAGGUGGUUCGGCAGAUGUAUGAGAACCGGACGCGUGAGGUGACUGCGGGCUAGCGGCCCGCCACCACACCGAGUGCGGUGCCGGACCAGCACGCCGACGUCAGGCGCGCAGCCGGCCCAAUCCCAGCAGUCACCCGACCCGCGAGCUCGCCGGUACGUCCGGCCGGCUUCUGCGCCGAGAGGCGCAGGAACCCGAGCUCGCGGGUCGUCUGCG